GCCCGCAUGGCUUAGUGGUAAAGCGUGUCACUCGUACCUGUCAAUGACAAGAUCCUCGGUUCGACUCCGAGUGUGGGCA